UACGGAGGGGGCGAGUGUUGUUCGGAAUUACUGGGCGUAAAGGGCGCGCAGGCGGCUUGGCAAGUCGAGUGUGAAAUCCCUCGGCUCAACUGAGGAACUGCACGGGAAACUGCCUGGCUUGAGUUCGGGAGAGGGAAGCGGAAUUCCGGGUGUAGCGGUGAAAUGCAUAGAUAUCCGGAGGAACACCGGUGGCGAAGGCGGCUUCCUGGACCGACACUGACGCUGAGGCGCGAAAGCUAGGGGAGCAAACAGG
rnacentral:rRNA from 1 species